UACGUAGGUGGCAAGCGUUGUCCGGAUUUACUGGGCGUAAAGAGCGCGCAGGCGGUCGUUCAAGUCGCGUGUGAAAGCCCCCGGCUCAACUGGGGAGGGUCACGCGAUACUGAUCGACUGGAAGGCAGGAGAGGGUAGUGGAAUUCCCGGUGUAGUGGUGAAAUGCGUAGAUAUCGGGAGGAACACCAGUGGCGAAGGCGACUACCUGGCCUGUUCUUGACGCUGAGGCGCGAAAGCUAAGGGGAGCAAACGGGG
rnacentral:rRNA from 1 species